CAGUCGCCACGGUAAUACGUAGGGUGCGAGCGUUAAUCGGAAUUACUUGGCGUAAAGCGUGCGCAGGCGGUUAUACAAGACAGAUGUGAAGUCCCCGGGCUCAACCUGGGACCUGCAUUUGUGACUGUAUAGCUGGAGUACGGUAGAGGGGGAUGGAAUUCCGCGUGUAGCAGUGAAAUGCGUAGAUAUGCGGAGGAACACCGAUGGCGAAGGCAAUCCCCUGGACCUGUACUGACGCUCAUGCACGAAAGCGUGGGGAGCAAACAGGAUUAGAUACCCCUGUAGUCCCUGUCUCUUAUAC
rnacentral:rRNA from 1 species